ensembl:lncRNA
GUGACCUGGCUUAACCUCAUCCUGAUUGAUAGAGAGCUAUUGGGGAGGACAACCACUGGGCUUCUGACAUGACCGGCGGGAAGCCUGAACCCUCUGGAUGGUCAUCUCGCCACCACACGGGAAGGAAGUUUGCCUGAAUAAAGCCGACAUAGAAGGAGGCAAGAAGCUUCCUGAGGCCUCACCAGGAGCAAAUGCCAGCACCAUGCUUCUUGCACAACCUGCAGAACCAGAAACCAAAAUAAACUUUUCUUUACAAAUUACCCAGCCUCACAAAUUCCUUCAUAGCAAUGCAAACUGACUAACACAGGCCAGGUGCAGGGGCUCACACCUGUAAUCCCAGCACUUGGGAGGCCAAGGUGGGUGGAUUACCUGAGGUCAGGAGUUUGAGACCAGCCUGGCCAACAUGGCGAAAACCCAUCUCUACUAAAAAUACAAAAAGUAGCUGGGCAUGGUGGUGUAUGCCUGUAGUUUCAGCUACUUGGGAGGCUGAAGCAGGAGAAUCGCGUGAACCUAGGAGGCAGAGGUUGCAGUGAGCCGAGAUCACACCACUGUACCCCAGCCUGGCUGACAGAGUGAGAUUCCAUUUCAAAAAACAAACAAACAAAUAAACACUGACUAACACGGGCAUACCCUUGAUUUUGUCAUAUCUCUGAAUGAAGGUUUGCCAGACAGACCUUCUAGCAGGAAUUUCAGUUUCCUGAGAACAGGGUCUUUCUUGGAUUUGUUUACAGUUAUGUCUUCAUUUGAUAAAUAUUCACUACAUGAGUUAAUUGGAGGCUGGGUGCUGUGGCUCAUGCUUCUAAUUCCAGUUCUUUGGAAGGCGGAGGUGGGAGGAUCCCUUGAGCUCAGGAGUUCAAGACCAGCCUGGGCAACACAGUAAGACUUUCUACAGAAAUUUUUAAAAAUUAGCCAGGCCUGGUGGUGUGUACCUGUAGUCCCAGCUACCUGGGGAGCUAAGGCAGAAGGAUAGCUUGAGAACAGAAGUUCGAGGGUGCAGUGAGCCGUGAUUGCACCAGUGCACUUCACCUGGAGUGAUUCUGUCUCAAAAAGAAAAAAAAAAAAGUUAAUGAGAGACUGAGGCAGACAUGGUACAAGACCCCCCAUUCCCAUAGACUGCCUUUGCAUUUAUUUCUGAAUGAGUUUUGGGAAGGGGAUGACCUCUUUCUGCUGUAUCUCUAGGAGCUAGGUGAGGGUUCCAGGGAUAAGCAAAAGGUGUCCCAGCAUCUUGGCAUAUAUUUCCAGACACUCUCCCCUCAGUUGCUCAUCAGAGGCGCCCUCUGAGAGAUUUCCAGAAAACUUAUGGAGAGUCAAGCAUUUGCUUAUCUUUGGGAGGCAUAUACAUUCCCCUUUGCUGUCUCUGAAGGUUGUUAUCUGAAAACUGUCUAGACUUUAGAUUCAAGCUGGGCAGGAGAAGGGCAAUGAAAUACUUCUCCACUUGGGGGUGGGGCUGGACGCGAUGAAAUAUUUCCACUGCUGACCUGUGGGGCUGACUCCCUGCACAGUCAGCUCGAGGCCCCACAACUCGGGGCAUGGGGUUUGUCAGUGUCUCAGUGCC